GCCCCCUUAGCUUAAUCGGAAGAGCGUCAGACUUUUACGAAGACAACUUCGUCACGGUCAUCUGAAGGUCGCCAGUUCGAGCCUGGCAGGGGGCG
rnacentral:tRNA from 1 species